rnacentral:rRNA from 1 species
UACAGAGGGUGCGAGCGUUAAUCGGAAUUAUUGGGCGUAAAGGGCGCGUAGGCGGCUAUUCAAGUGGCGGGUGAAAUCCCUCGGCUUAACCGAGGAACUGCCUGCCAGACUGGAUGGCUUGAGACCGGGAGAGGUGAGUGGAAUUCCCAGUGUAGCGGUGAAAUGCGUAGAUAUUGGGAGGAACACCAGUGGCGAAGGCGGCUCACUGGACCGGUACUGACGCUGAGGCGCGAAAGCGUGGGGAGCAAACAGG